AAGGUACUCUAAUCAAUCUCAUGGAAGCCGCUGAACGCAUGUACGCCAUGGAUCCUUGCGCUGGCAACGUUUCUUUUCAUUUAUCGGCGAGGUUCUCUUGCCAUCUUUGUGGCUUUCCAUGAUGCUAUUUUAGCAAGGUCUGUCCUUGAGGCUUCGGCCUUGGCCUUGUUUAUUUCCCAACAAAUUUUACAAAUUUUUUCAGAUCUUUCAUCACAUCGAAUCUUUAGACGUAUGCAUGCAAUAUUAAAUAUAGACGAAAAGAAAAACUAACUGCACAGUUUGGUCGAAAUUGAUGAGACGAAUUUUUUGAACCUAGUUAGUCCAUAAUUAGAUAACAUUUGUCAAAAUAAAACGAAAGUGCUACAGUGUCGAUUUUCUAUAACUUUUUGAAACUAAACAAGACCAUGUUUAGUUCGAAAAAAAUUCGGAUUUCGCUAUCGUAGCACUUUCGUUUGUAUUUGACAAAUAUUAUUUAAUCAUAAACUAACUAGAAUCAAAAGAUUCGUCUCGCGAUUUACAGAUAAACUGUGUAAUUAGUUUUUGUUUUCAUUUAUAUCUAAUGCUUCAUGUAUGUGCCGCAAAAUUUAAUGUAACGAGAAAUCUUAAAAAAAAUUUAGAUUUCGGGGUGAACUAAACAAGGCCUUCAACCUCGGGGGAGGGGACGCAUGAUGGUAUGGUUAACUUAACACCUGUCUUUGCUCGCCUCCCCAGGAGUCUGCUUAACGGAAAGCACUGUUUGACUAGUCCUUGCUAGGCCUCCUCCCUCCCUCCCUGUCUCUCUCUCACUCACAC
rnacentral:lncRNA from 1 species